AUUAAUCGUACUUAUCUGGUGAAGGCACAUUCCAACAAUUAUGGUUUGAAAAAUUAUAAAGGUGGCACUUAUCCGCACGUUCGGAUUAUUUUUAUUCCCCCACAAGAACAUACAGUAUUUUGAGUGAGGUUUUCAUCUACAGAGAAGAUUUUUAGUGGCUGAGAGCGUUUUCCGGUGAGGAUAAAGUGAUUAAUCGACCUCGAAUUUUUCCUGCUGGGAUCACAAGUAGAAAAACAACGAGGCAGGCGGGGAGACGAGUGGAUCAGCACGUUGAACUGCGUUUUGGCUAUAAUUAUUUUAUUUCUAUUCCGAUCAUUUUCACAAUAAUUUACUUUAUGAAAUCCAUGUAUUCCGAAACUAUCAAUUUAUUUAUAUUCACUGAAUUUUACUUUGACACAUUUUGACACAUUUUUCUUUGUAUUCCAAUAAGUAUUAUGUGAUGAUUUCUCAUAAACAUCAAAUUGUAUUUGAUGGUUAUCAUUA